rnacentral:lncRNA from 1 species
AUAAAGAAAAAAUUCUAAAGGAUCAUGAGGAGUCAGAGAACCGACCUAAGACAGGGUAUUUAACACUUUACCACAUGGUAAAAGGGCUUGAAGAUUGAUGGGAAGUAGUCUAUGUACUGUGUUUUCUGGGGUUGCAGGAAUUGGGUUAUCGCUCAGACACGAGCUUAUCUAAGGAAAUAUAAGUACUUAAUUAUUAACGUUGAACAGUAAUAUCCUCUGUGCCAAGAAAAGCUACUUACUUGUUUCUCUCUCACACAAAC